GGCGAAGAGGUCACACCCGUUCCCAUACCGAACACGGAAGUUAAGCUCUUCAGCGCCGAUGGUAGUUGGGGGUCUCCCCCUGUGAGAGUAGGACGUCGCUGGGC
rnacentral:rRNA from 1 species